rnacentral:sRNA from 1 species
GCUGGGCGUGGUGGCUCAUGCCUGUAAUCCCAGCACUUUGGGAGGCUGAGAUGGGUGGAUCACCUGAGGUCAGGAGUUCGAGACCAGCCUGGCCAACAUGGUGAAAUCCUGUCUCUA